AGCUGCUGUUGGGCCACCGGAGCUUCUGGCCGCUCACGGAUCUUUUGUCGGGGCAAUUCGAAGUCGUAGCUGCUUCGCUUGUUAGUAUAGUUUGAGUUCCGGUGAUUUCGUGUCGCAUAAGUGUUGCGGAGGCUGCCGUGUCAUUCCUUUUAUUUCAGAAGUAAUAGCUGAGCUUAUACGUGCCGCUGAGGCUAUUUCUUAUAUUGAGAAAAACACGCGGAGUCAGGAUUUUGAUUGUGAUUUCGAGCUGAGGCGAAAAGGUCUCUGAGAGAUGUUUGGGUUAUGCAAUUUGCGUUUUGAGGUAGGGGCGC